rnacentral:lncRNA from 1 species
GUAGAUAUGUAUUGGGGAAAGGGGACAGGUAUACUGGAGUGAUGGAGGUAGAUAUGUAUAGGGGACAGGGAUACUGGAGUGAUGGAGGUAGAUAUGUAUAGGGGGAAGGGGACAGGGAUACUGGAGUGAUGGAGGUAGAUAUGUAUAGGGGACAGGGAUACUGGAGUGAUGAAGGAGACAGGGAUACUGGAGUGAUGGAGGUAGAUAUGUAUAGGGGACAGGGAUACUGGAGUGAUGGAGGUAGAUAUGUAUAGGGGGAAGGAGACAGGGAUACUGGAGUGAUGGAGGUAGAUAUGUAUAGGGGACAGGGAUACUGGAGUGAUGGAGGUAGAUAUGUAUAGGGGACAGGGAUACUGGAGUGAUGGAGGUAGAUAUGUAUAGGGGGAAGGAGACAGGGAUACUGGAGUGAUGGAGGUAGAUAUGUA